UGACAUUCAGUUAAUUUCACUUUCACUUCCACAGGGGCUCCUGGGGGACCUUCAGUGACACAGACGAAUAGGGAUAAAGUGCGGCGAGCUCGAAAGGAACUCAACAAAAGGCUCCAGGAGACCACCGUGAAGCUUCUCAUAAAUGAUCUUCAACACCCAACAGAUGAAGGACCUGCGAUCCUCAACCCCCAAGAGAAAGACCAGGUUCUUCAGGCCAAUCAAACAACCUUCGAUCGGGUGACGUGUCUCGUGGACAUGGUGUGGAACAAGGGAGAGGAUGCUUGCAGGAUAUUCAUCGAUCUGCUCAAAGAAAAUGCACCCGGUCUGUGUAACGAGCUCGGCCUGUGAACUCUUUAGAGUGUCUAACUGUGUUUUCAGACCUCACAUGUCAAUAGCUGGAACCCGGUCUGUGUAACAAGCUCAACCUGUGAACUCUUUGAAGUGCCUAACUGAAAAACUCACCAAAAACCAGAACAUACCUGUACAACUUGACAACAACAGAGAGAACAAGGUGUUGACAUUGCACUUAGCUGCUGCUGCUUUUUCCCAACGCAACUUACCGUUAUUGUUAAGUAUAGGGUAUUGGUUGAAGUCCCUGGAUCAGUGUGGCAUUAGGUAGCUUGCUCAAGGGUACCUCAGCCAUGGAGUGAGGUAGAGAGUGGAAGGGUGGGAUUCGAACCCGCAACCCUCUGAUCUAAAGCCCAUCUCCUUAACCACUAGGCCACGGCUGACAUGUAACAUUUACAUAUUCAGUUAAGGGAAGCAGCCCCUGUUUUAGGGAAGCAGCCCCUGUUUUAGGGAGCUCGGCCUGGUGGAGUGACUAGACUCCAACUCUGGAGUUACGAUACCAUUAUACCAGGGCUGUAAUGAUAUUGUAUCGAACCGAGAAAUCGUGAUACACAGAGUCACGAUACUGUAUCGCAAUACAAGGAGGCAGUAUCGGGAUAUGCCCUUCAAAAGUUUUGUUACCCAGCAGUCCAGAAAACAACCACAUGAUAUGAAGUCUCUAUUUUCUACCUAUAUUCUACCUAUAAACUUUCAUAUUUUUUAUUCAUACUUUUAUUUUAUAAUGUUGGCAAAUGUGAAAUCGUGGGGUGUAUCGAAAUGUAGGUUAAAAAUCGUAAUACGAACCGAAUCGUGAGUGGAGUGUAUCAUUACAGCCCUACAUUAUACUUUAUUGUCAGUUUACACUGAAAUUCAUUUUGCAUCCCUGAGCAACACUCAUUUAAGACAGGACAUACACAUAACAUCACAUUACAAGACUAUUGCACAACUGACAAAAACAGAGGACACAUGCCUACAUACAUGCCUACAUACGUUACAUUGAUACAACCCACAAAACUUGAAGAUAUUACCAACAUGGAGUGAUAACACUAUGCAGUCUUACGACUACAUGUAUACAGAGAGAUUGAUCGAUGUUUGAAGUCAUGUUGAAGUCUGUUGCGGUUGAAGCGGCUUGUAAACGUUUACUGUGGAAUUAGAACUGAGUGUGUUAUGAUUUCUGUAGAAAUCUUGGUCUGUGAAACAAGUUGCAUUUAUUAAUGUAAAUGAAAUGGACAGAAUGUCUCGUAAAAUAAUGAUUAUCCAUUUCAUAACUGACACCUAAUCCUUGAACUAUCCCCAAAGCUCUUGUGCAGUGUAUUGUGUUUGUCUUUGAAACAGUAUGACAUUUUGCCAUAUUGAGUGGAAAUAUAAAUUCCAACUAUUUUUGUACCUUGGCUCACUUUUCAUUGUUUCUAUGUUUCCUAUAAAUUGUAUAUAAAUAUUCCAAACUAAUAUAAAGUGACUGCUUGUAAAUUGCAGAGGUCUUAACUAGUGCCUUCCAAGCAGUUUAUUCACUAUCGCUAUGGAUAACAUUACACUCUGGGAAAAAGACAGAAAAAAGGACCACUUUGCCAUUGGUUUGGCCCAUGGAUUAAUUCAAGUGAUUGAUUAAUUGAUUUAGUAACGACUAUGGUCACAAUUAUUGUGGAAUCCUGUCAGCGGUGGGUGUCAUGUGACCGUGCCUUGAGACUUCCUGUUGCAAGCUGCCACCACUAUAUAAUAAUUAAAUAAUGUUUUUAUGUUUCUAAACUACCACCACUAUAUAAUAAUGCCAUUAAAGAAUGUUUUUAUGUUUCUAAACUACCACCACUAUAUAAUAAUGCCAUUAAAGAAUGUUUUUAUGUUUCUAAAC